rnacentral:rRNA from 1 species
CCUACGGGUGGCAGCAGUGGGGAAUAUUGCACAAUGGGCGCGACCCUGAUGCAGCGACGCAGCGUGAGGGAAGAAGUCUUUCCGGAUGUAAAGCUCUAUCAGCAGGGAAGAAAAAUGAGGCUACCUUACUAAUAUGCACCGGCUAACUACGUGCCAGCAGCCUCGCUAAUACGUAGGAGGCAAGCGUUAUCCGGAUUUCCUGGGUGUAAAGGGAGCGUAGACGGGUGUGCAAGUCUGAAGUGAAAGCCCAGGGCUCAACCGUGGGACUGCAUUGGAAACUGGGGAGCUAGAGUGCUGGAGAGGUAGGUGGAAUUCGUGGUGUAGCGGUGAAAUGCGUAGAUAUUACGAAGAACACCAGUGGCGAAGGCAGCUUACUGAACAGCAACUGACGUUGAGGCUCGAAAGUGUGGGGAUCAAACAGGAUUAGAUACCCGUGUAGUC